GUACUCCACAGCUGCAGCUACUCCUCCCCUGCUUUAGCCAAGAGGCAUUUCCACUUAUAAGGAAUCAGGGAGCAGAACUACCUUUUUCUUUUCCCCUUAGAGAGGUUACGAUUAUUUAACAGAACUGCAUCUGCAUAUUAUUGUAUAAUUAGUUCAGUAAUUCUCAUACCUAUUCAUAACAAAGGCCUUAUAAUUUUGGCAUGUUCUAACUAGCAAUUGCAAGAACUAACAACUGAUUUGUGACGUUGGCUGAUGCAUCUCUUUAAAUAGAAUGUUUUUCAGUUGUUUCAAGCUAAUGAAGCUGAGCUGUCUGCAAAUCCCUAGGAUCCUGCGUUUUACAUCCCUGUUAACAGCCUGUGCUAUACCCUGAAUCAGCACACAAAAUUGUAACUAUCAAGCCAGGUAAACUAGGUAUUUUGAAUUAAAGUGACCAAAGCAAACACAUCCACCCAGGCACAACUGCAGCCUGCUCACGCCAGAGUAGCUGGAAGGGAAAGGGCGAGCAGAGGUGCCCUCCACCACCUCCUCAGGCCACACCAGGAACUCCUCCCAGCCCCUCCAUGGAGAGCCUUCCCUUCUGCUGAGGUUUUUGGGUGCUGAAGUGUCGAAUAACCUACCAAAAGACAACAGAACCCAUGUAGAAUAUUCGUAUUUCCUUAUAGCCAAGAGCGAGUCUGUCUAACGCCCCAUCUACCUUGCAGCAGCCCUCCCCAAGGAGCAGGACCGCAGCCCCUCUGUGACCCAGCUGGCAAAGCGUACCUCUAAAGCAGGAAUCUUUGGAGAAGCGGUGCAGCCAAGCACUCGGGAGACAGGGGAGAGCCAGCAGAAGCACAGGUUUGCUCCAGUGCUGAACCAGCCAUGCUGCACGGGGAGAACACAGUGACAUGUUUAUCGAGAUGACCUGAAGUGCCCUGUUUCAGGUCAGAUUUUAGUAUCUUUACUGGCUAUCACUUUGCACCUGACCUUCAGCCUGGGACAAGAAAAAAGGGGGAAAGAAGGAAAGGCUGGAGAGCCACGAGAAAUUCUUGUAGAUUUUGCUUGAUCUGAAGGAAGAAAACCUCAUCAAACAAAGAAAAACAAAGGAUGCAAUAAAAUUUAGAAUGAUUUGCAAAACAAGUUUUUAAAAAGAGGCUUCUAUCACCAUAAAAUUUCUUAACGUAUUUCCUAAGUACAUAUUUUAUAUGAUCACCAUCAUUAUUUUCACUGUUUGGAAAGUCAAUGAAGCAAAAUAAAGCAAUCCACAAGAAUGUAAUAACUAAU